UCUCCGUAGGUGAACCUGCGGAGGGAUCAUUACUGAGUGAGGGUCUCCGGGCCCGACCUCCAACCCUUUGUGAAUCGUACUCGUUGCUUCGGGGGCGACCCUGCCGUCCGCGGCUGAGCGCCCCCGGGGUCAAUCAAACACUGCAUUCUCUGCGUCGGAGUAUUAGUAAAUCUACUCAACACUUACCACAACGGAUCUCUUGGUUCUGGCAUCGAUGAAGAACGCAGC
rnacentral:misc_RNA from 1 species